rnacentral:rRNA from 1 species
UUUCGAUGAAGAACGCAGCGAAAUGCGAUAAGUAAUGUGAAUUGCAGAGUUCAGUGAAUCAUCGAAUCUUUGAACGUCAGCCGUUGGCGCUACCUUGGUAUUCCGAGGAGCAUGCCUGUUUGAGCGUCAUGA